rnacentral:rRNA from 1 species
UGCGUAGGCGGUUACCUAAGUCAGGUGUGAAAUCUCUCGGCUCAACCGAGAAACUGCGCUUGAAACUGGGUGACUGGAGUGAGGCAGGGGUGUGUGGAACUUCCGGUGGAGCGGUGAAAUGUGUAGAUAUCGGAAGGAACGCCAGCAGCGAAAGCGGCACACUGGGCCUUUUCUGACGCUGAGGCACGAAAGCUAGGGGAGUGAACGGGAUUAGAUACCCCGGUAAUCCUAGCCGUAAACACUGAACACUGGAGGAGGGAGGUUUCGGCCUUCUUUCUCGUAGCGAAAGCGUUAAGUGUUCCGCCUGGGGAGUAUGGUCGCAAGGCUGAA